AGAGUUUGAUCAUGGCUCAGGACGAACGCUGGCGGCGUGCUUAACACAUGCAAGUCGAACGAGGUGCUUGCACCUAGUGGCGAACGGGUGAGUAACACGUGAGCAACCUGCCCCUGGCUCUGGGAUAGCCUCCGGAAACGGGGAUUAAUACCGGACAUGACCCUGGAAGGCAUCUUCCGGGGUGGAAAGUUUUUCGGCCA
rnacentral:rRNA from 1 species